UUAUACAGCGAAACUGCGAAUGGCUCAUUAUAUAAGUUAUCGUUUAUUUGAUAGCACCUUACUACUUGGAUAACCGUGGUAAUUCUAGAGCUAAUACAUGCUAAAAAUCCCGACUUCGGAAGGGAUGUAUUUAUUAGAUUAAAAACCAAUGCCUUCGGGCUUUCUGGUGAUUCAUGAUAACUUCUCGAAUCGCAUGGCCUUGCGCCGGCGAUGGUUCAUUCAAAUUUCUUCCCUAUCAACUUUCGAUGCGAAGGUCUUGUCUUCGCAUGGUUACAACGGGUAACGGAGGGUUAGGGCUCGACCCCGGAGAGGGAGCCUGAGAAAUGGCUACCACUUUUAAGGAAGGCAGCAGGCGCGCAAAUUACCCAAUCCCGACACGGGGAGGUAGUGACAAUAAAUACUGAUACAGGGCCCUUAUGGGUCUUGUAAUCGGAAUGAGUACAAUUUAAAUCCCUUAACGAGGAACAAUUGGAGGGCAAGUCUGGUGCCAGCAGCCGCGGUAAUUCCAGCUCCAAUAGCGUAUAUUAAAGUUGUUGUGGUUAAAAAGCUCGUAGUUGAACCUUGGGCCUGGCUGGCCGGUCCCCCUCACCGGGUGCACUGGUCCGGCCGGGUCUUUCCCUCUAUGGAACCUCAUGCUCUUCAUUGAGUGUGUUGGGGAAAUAGGACUUUUACUUUGAAAAAAUUAGAGUGCUCCAGGCAGGCCUAUGCUCGAAUAGUACAGCAUGGAAUAAUAGAAUAGGACGUGUGGUUCUAUUUUGUUGGUUUCUAGGACCGCCGUAAUGAUUAAUAGGGACAGUCGGGGGCAUCAGUAUUCAGCUGUCAGAGGUGAAA
rnacentral:rRNA from 2 species